UGACCUCGAUCAGGUA
rnacentral:rRNA from 3 species